rnacentral:rRNA from 1 species
GAUGAACGCUGGCGGCGUGCCUAAUACAUGCAAGUCGAGCGAACGGACGAGAAGCUUGCUUCUCUGAUGUUAGCGGCGGACGGGUGAGUAAUACGUGGAUAACCUACCUAUAAGACUGGGAUAACUUCGGGAAACCGGAGCUAAUACCGGAUAAUAUUUUGAACCGCAUGGUUCAAUAGUGAAAGACGGUUUUGCUGUCACUUAUAGAUGGAUCCGCGCUGCAUUAGCUAGUUGGUAAGGUAACGGCUUACCAAGGCAACGAUGCAUAGCCGACCUGAGAGGGUGAUCGGCCACACUGGAACUGAGACACGGUCCAGACUCCUACGGGAGGCAGCAGUAGGGAAUCUUCCGCAAUGGGCGAAAGCCUGACGGAGCAACGCCGCGUGAGUGAUGAAGGUCUUCGGAUCGUAAAACUCUGUUAUUAGGGAAGAACAUAUGUGUAAGUAACUGUGCACAUCUUGACGGUACCUAAUCAGAAAGCCACGGCUAACUACGUG